AACGCACAUUGCGCCCGCCGGUAUUCCGGCGGGCAUGCCUGUUCGAGCGUCAUUUCAACCAUCAAGCCCUGGGCUUGUGUUGGGGACCCGCGGCUGCUCGCGGGCCCUGAAAAGCAGUGGCGGGCUCGCUAGUCACACCGAGCGUAGUAGAGCUUCUAUUCGAUCUCGCUCAGGGCGUGCGGCGGGUGCCGGCCGUAAAACCCCAGCUUCUUCUAAGGUUGACCUCGGAUCAGGUAGGAGGACCCGCUGAACUUAA
rnacentral:misc_RNA from 1 species